AAAUAACAAUAUGGCUUUCUAAAGAAGUUCAUAACCCACGCUCAAUCGAAGUGAACCCAACAUUAAACGAUUAUUUUUUUGUUUAACACAAAAAAAAAAAAAUAUACGCGUCUCAAUAAUUUAAUUGACAAGAAAAUAUUAUUUUUCAUUAAAGUGUUACUUCAAUUUGAUAGCUAUACAUAACAUUGGAGUUGAAUAAUCACAUCACAAUCAAGAUGAGACGUAAAAGUGAACGUAACAAGACAAAAUCAUCACCAGAAAAAAAGCCUGAAAAACCAACUCGUAAAUCAACUCGUAGACGUACUAAAAAAUCACCAUCAACAUCACCAGAACGUGGUGAUAAUAGUAAUGAUGGUAUUGAUAAUAAUAAAAAUGAUAAUAAAGAACAAACACCAUUUAAAAGACAAACACGUUUACGUAGUAGAGAAAGUACACCAACAAAAAUAAUACCAUCAACAACACAAACACCAACAGCAGCAGCAGCAACAACAACAAGUGGUUUAAUGUCACCAGUUAUUGAAGAAACAGAUACAAAAGUAACAUCAACUGAGCCAACAACACCUAAAAAACAAGAUGAAGUUGAUGAAAGUGGUGGCUCAGUAUGGAAAGUUGCAAGAGCUGAUGCAUCACCAGGACAAAUACAAAAAUUAAAAAUAUGUAGACAACGUAAUUUAUCGGAAACAUCAGAUGUAUCAUUGAGUAAAAAACGUUCAAGUAAAUGGCAGGAUUAUAGUGAUGGUGUUGCUGAGAGUGCUGAUUCAGCUGAUGAACCACCAACAACAUCAAAUGAUGGAAUUAAAAUUAAUAAUGAUACAACAAUUGAUGAUACAACAUCUAUUACAGGGAGAGAUUCUGGCGAAGAGGUAAGUGAUAGAAAGGAGAUACCGUCUGAUGAUAUCACAACAGUCAACAUGUCUGACGUAAAAAAAAACAUAGAUAAACAACAACAACAACAACAGCGUGAUGAUGGUGAUAAAGAUGAUCAUGAUGAUGAUGAAGGACAAGGACAGAAACCUGCUAAGGAAAAUGAAGAUAAUAAAGAUGAUGUGAGCGAAUCAACAACCACAAUACCAACACCAGCAACAACAACAGCAGCAGCAGUAGUUGAUGAUGAUGAUGAUGAUGUUUCAAGCAAGGAGGAUAUUAAAGCUAAUGUUCAAAAGAAUGAUGAUGAUAAAGAACCUGAAAAACUUGAUGAAGAUAAGGAUGAAUCAACAAAACAAGAAACAACACAAGACAAUAAUAAUGAUAAAAAACAAUCAACAAUUGAUGACACUGUUAAAUCAUCAACUGAAUCUGAUGAUAAAAUUAUAGAAGAAAAAUCAAUUGUUAAUGAAGAAAUUAAAAAAGAUAGUGUACCAAUUGUUGAAGAUGAAAAAAAAAUAAAUGAAGAUAAAAUUAAAGAAAAAAAAGUAUCACCUUCAAGUAGUGAUAAUGAUGAAGAUAAUAAAAAAAAAUCAGAAUCAUCAGAUAAUAAAACAAAUGAUGAAUCUAAAAAUGAAAUAACAACAAGUACAAGACCAGUACGUUUAACAAGAAGAAAACAUCGUGAUAAAUAUCGUGAUUCAUCAAAUUCAGAAUCUGGUGAUUCAGAUGAUGAACCAAGACGUAGAAAUAGAAAAACAAGUGAGGCUGAUAAUAAAAAAGUUAAAAUAGAAAAAGAUAAAAAUGAAGAUGUAAAAAUUAAUAAAAAUAUAGAAACAAAAAAUAUAGAAAAAGAACAACAAAAAGAUAUUAAUAAUGAAAAAACAGAAAUUAUUAAAAAUGAAAAAAUAGAUAAUACUAAAAGAGAAAAAUCAGAAUCACCAGAAGAACAUCUUGAUAUUCAUGCUGAUACUGAAAAUGACAAGGAAAAAUUAUCUGAUGCUGAAGAAAAUAAUGAUUGUAAUAAAAAAACAACAAAUGAUAAUUCUGAUGAAAUUAAAAAUCAACAAAUUGAUGAUGUUAAAUCUGAAACAAUUGAAAAAAUUCAAACAAUCAUUAAACCAGCUAAAGUUUGUUUAAAAAGAACUUACUCACGAGCCUCAGUUGAUGUUAAGAAAGAUGAUGGUGAUUCAUUGAAUGAUCCAAGUCAAGACAAAGAAAAUCAUGUGAGUGAAUCACCUAAAGUCAUUCCAAAAAGACGUCGUUGGGGAACAAGUGUUCUUGGUACAGACACAACACCAGUUUUAUCAAUUUCUACUGAUUCACUUCAGGCUCUGGUACCUGGAGCAAAACCCUUGUCAAUGAGUGAAGUACGCCUGACAAAAGAUGACGAUGAGGUGCGAGAACAUCGACGAGAGCAAGAAAAACAUCAUGAAAUAAAUAAUGGUGAUGAAGACAAAGAAGAACAUGAACUUGUUAAAAAUGAUAGCUCAAGAGACAAUCAAUUAGCAAGAAGAAAAAUAUCUAUUGUCAAAGACACAUCACAAUUACCAUCACCAAGUUCACCAUCUGGUGCACAAGUUACAAAUGUAUUGUUUAUUAAAAAUUUAGUUCGUCCAUUUACAAUGACACAAUUAAAAGAGCUUCUAUCACGUACUGGUACAAUUAUUGAAAAUGGUUUUUGGAUGGAUAGAAUAAAAUCCAAAGCUUAUGUUGAGUAUAUGAAUGAAGAUCAGGCAUUUGAAACUAGACAAGCUCUUCAUGGAAUAUCUUGGCCAAUAUCAAAUCCAAAAAAACUCGUUGUUGAAUACGCAACAAAAGAAGCCAUGAAUGAAGCUAAAGAAUUAUUUAAAGAUCAACCAGUAGCUAAAAAAGUUGAGGCAGUAUCAACUGGUGAUAAUUGGCCAAAUUCAUGGGAUGAUAAAACAAAUACAACAACAAAGGUAACUGUUGUGAGAGAAUGGGAUUUGGGAAAAGAAGAUGAUCAACAUAAUUUAAAAGAUAAAGAACGUGAAAAAAAAGAUAAUGAUAGUAAAAAAAGAAAACAAAGAAGUCGUAGUCCAUUAAAUGAUUCACAUUUACCAGCACCAGCUCGUAAAUUUAAAAAAAAAGAAGAUGAUGCACCACCAGCAAAAUUACUUGAUGAUUUAUUUAAAAAAACAAAAGCAACACCAUGCAUAUACUGGUUACCGCUCACCAACGAGCAGGUUAGCUUAUUACAAAAAAAUAAUUUAUAAUCACGCUUAAUUCAACAAAAAAAAAACACAAAUAAAUAUAUAAUCACAUCAACUUGACAAAAUUGUUGUUAAAGAAGAAAUGCGAAGAAAAGCUAUGGCUGAAAAUGCACGAAGAUUGGAAGAAUUCAGACGUGGUGGAAAUCGUGACAAUAAUCGUCGUCACGGACGCAGUCCCAGA
rnacentral:misc_RNA from 1 species